UACAGAGGUGGCAAGCGUUGUUCGGAAUUACUGGGCGUAAAGGGCGCGUAGGCGGCCUUCUAAGUCAGACGUGAAAUCCCCCGGCUUAACCUGGGAACUGCGUCUGAUACUGGGAGGCUUGAGUAUGGGAGAGGGAUGUAGAAUUCCAGGUGUAGCGGUGAAAUGCGUAGAUAUCUGGAGGAACACCGGUGGCGAAGGCGGCAUCCUGGACCAAUUCUGACGCUGAGGAGCGAAAGCCAGGGGAGCAAACGGG
rnacentral:rRNA from 1 species